rnacentral:misc_RNA from 1 species
AACGCAUAUUGCACUCUCUGGUAUUCCGGAGAGUAUGCCUGUUUCAGUAUCAGUAAACACCAUCAAACAAAAUCCUUAGUGUUUUUUGUUUGGAUUUGAGCGUUGCCGAGAAAAAACCAAAAAAUUUUUUAUUUCGGCCUGCUCGAAAUGCAAGUACACAGGAGGAACAAAAAGGGUGGGUGUGAAAUUAGAAAGCGUCGUAGUUGACUUUUUUUUGUCUUCUUUCGCUGAAAAAUGAAACACCAGAAAAACAACCUUUGUGGAUUCCGCUGUGCAAAUUCGCAGGUUUUUUCACUUCUUGAUCUGAAAUCAGGUAGGACUACCCGCUGAACUUAA